GUGUAAUGAGAUAGGUAUUGUUUGAUAGUUAUGUUCAGGUAGUUAGUUACAUUGGAUACAUAAUCUGGAAUUGCAAUACUAGCUAGGUUUGACUAAGGUUAAGUUCUAAAACGUGCCAUCUAAAAUAUGCUCCUUUUUACAGACUUAAAGACCAAUGGAUAAUAGUUUUUCCUGGAACUGAUCGGUCCCGACGAUCAGUUGCCUCAGGAUUUGAGGAUGCAUAUGGUCUGCCAAAUAUCUUGGGUGUAGUAGACUGCACUCAAGUGAAAAUAUUUCCCACCUGUGCCACACGGAGUGCAAUAUCUGAAUCGGAAAGGCGUUCACGCUCUUAAUGUACAGCUAAUUGCAGAUGUCAACUGUAAGAUCUUGGCAGUAAACACGAGGUUUCCUGGCCGUGUGCACGACUCUUUCAUAUUUAACAAUUCGUCCAUUUAGGAUGAAUUAAGAAGAUUGUACAAUGGCCACAUUGGGGAGUAUUUCCUUCUGGGUAAGCAGAAAAUUGUGUAUCUGUACCUAGUGUAAAUUUAUUCGAUGGGGAGACGUGACGUACGCGUUUGCGUUAACUGUCAUUUUGUAUGGAAUUUUGAGUUUCCAAAACAUCCCGCUUGGCGCGCUGUUUCUAAAUCCCUUAGCACCACUUGCACCAUUUCACUAACUCGGGGUUAACUGGUUAACCCUGGAGUUACCAUGUUACCAGUACAAUUUCACAUUGGGUUAACGGUUUAACCGGUUAACCCCGGGUUAUUGGAAUGGGGCAAGUGCAUGUUAGUAAAUGUACUAAGAUCACGACCACAGAAUAAAUAGUUCAUGACUAAGUUAAUAUACCUAUCAUAAUGUAAAUAACCGGCCAAGAGCAUGUCGGGCCACGCUCAGUGUAGGGUUCCGUAGUUACUCUUCCGUCACAAUAAGCUAAACUGGAGCUUAAAGUGUAGUAAAUGGUACCUUUCACCCGAGUUAAACAAAUAGGCAAAUUUGCAUAAUCAGUACCUAAUUAAA